GACGAACGCUGGCGGCGUGCUUAACACAUGCAAGUCGAACGGAAAGGCCUCUUUCGGGGGGUACUCGAGUGGCGAACGGGUGAGUAACACGUGAGUAACCUGCCCUUGACUUUGGGAUAACUUCAGGAAACUGGGGCUAAUACCGGAUAGGAGCUCCUGCUGCAUGGUGGGGGUUGGAAAGUUUCGGCGGUUGGGGAUGGACUCGCGGCUUAUCAGCUUGUUGGUGGGGUAGUGGCUAACCAAGGCUUUGGCGGGUAGCCGGCCUGAGAGGGUGACCGGCCACAAGGGGACUAAGGGAGGGCCCAGCCGCCAAGGGGGGGCAACGGGGGGGAGUAUGACACAGUGGGGGGGAGCGUGGUGAGAAAGCCCCGGGGGGGGAAAGCCGGCUUUGGGGUGAUGAACCGCUUUCACUUAAGACGAAGCUUUGUUGACGGGAAGUGGAGAAAAAGCACCGGCUAACUUCGGG
rnacentral:rRNA from 1 species